rnacentral:rRNA from 1 species
UACAGAGGUCCAAAGCGUUGUUCGGAUUCACUGGGCGUAAAGGGUGCGUAGGUGGCCAGGUAAGUUUGGUGUGAAAGCUCGGAGCUUAACUCCGAAAAGUCAUUGAAUACUAUCUGGCUGGAGGGUCGGAGGGGAGACUGGAAUUCUCGGUGUAGCAGUGAAAUGCGUAGAUAUCGAGAGGAACACCAGUGGCGAAGGCGAGUCUCUGGACGACUCCUGACACUGAGGCACGAAAGCUAGGGGAGCAAACAGG